UCUUUUUCUAGUUCUUUCCCAGAGAAAGAGUGCAGUCUUCUGGCACACCUCCUGGGAGGGUCAGUGCCCAAACAAGAAGGCGUUAGGAACCUCAGAGCCUCUUGCUGAACAAAAUGGUUUCACUGGCCCAAAACACAACUGCUUCCCCUGCACGAGAGGUUGGCUCUUCCUGGAUCCUCUGGCCAAACUAGAGUGGACCUGCUCUUUCACAGACGGUGAAACAGACACUACGGUGAUUCAACUAGAAUAAACAUUUUUACUACAUCAACAGAGGAAUCUGGAUUGAGUUGUAAAUUCCCGGAAAUAGGAGGACGUAUAUUCCACGGAUUUUGUUGACUCGGCUGGAUUUGGUACCUAAGGUCCUUGAGGUGCCCAUCUUCGUGUCCAACAGUCAAAUUCACC